rnacentral:rRNA from 1 species
UACGUAGGUGGCAAGCGUUGUCCGGAUUUACUGGGUGUAAAGGGCGUGUAGCCAGGCUGACAAGUCAGAUGUGAAAUCCGGGGGCUCAACCCCCGAACUGCAUUUGAAACUGUUGGUCUUGAGUAUCGGAGAGGCAGGCGGAAUUCCUAGUGUAGCGGUGAAAUGCGUAGAUAUUAGGAGGAACACCAGUGGCGAAGGCGGCCUGCUGGACGACAACUGACGGUGAGGCGCGAAAGCGUGGGGAGCAAACAGG